UACGUAGGGUGCAAGCGUUGUCCGGAAUUAUUGGGUGUAAAGCGCGUGUAGGCGGGAGGCCAAGUCUGUGGUGAAAUCGCUCGGCUUAACUGGGCGGGGUCCAUGGAAACUGGUCACCUGGAGGUCGGUAGAGGCAAGUGGAAUUCCCGGUGUAGUGGUGAAAUGCGUAGAGAUCGGGAGGAACACCAGUGGCGAAGGCGGCUUGCUGGGCCGGACCUGACGCUGAGACGCGAAAGCAUGGGGAGCGAACAGG
rnacentral:rRNA from 1 species